GACGGAGGAUGCAAGCGUUAUCCGGAAUGAUUGGGCGUAAAGCGUCCGCAGGUGGCAGUUCAAGUCUGCUGUCAAAGACCGGGGCUUAACUUCGGAAAGGCAGUGGAAACUGAACAGCUAGAGUAUGGUAGGGGCAGAGGGAAUUCCUGGUGUAGCGGUGAAAUGCGUAGAGAUCAGGAAGAACAUCGGUGGCGAAGGCGCUCUGCUGGACCAUAACUGACGCUGAGGAGCGAAAGCGUGGGGAGCGAACAAGA
rnacentral:rRNA from 1 species